GAAAGGGAGGGAGGGAGGGGGAGAGAGAGAUGCAGGAGUUAGGUUUGGUUUGGCAGGUUUGAAACUGGUGUGUGUAGAAAGUGUACGAAAUGUAGUUUUGCGCCCAGGAUAAAAACGCCCACAGGACCAGUGACGGGUGUGUCUGCAUGCAGGAGAUACGAGAGAGAAAUAGUGCCAGCAGAAAAUAGAAUACAAAUAAAAGAGUAGACAAAGUGUGUUUUAACUUUUUUUAAGUUCUAUGCAACUUUAAACUUUUUUUUUACUAUUUGAGGUUUCAGAGACCCGGUCCAGGCUCCGUGCCCCCCCCCCCUUCAGCGGUCCUGCUCUAAAGAGGAGGACCGCCGGACCGGGGGUGAGCUCUGACCCCCCCCACAGAUGCAGGACUCUUUCCCCGGAGGAGGAGUAUCUCUCCUCCCUUCCCGGCCCUCACGGACGGCAACACGACCGCACAGCCCAGCGCUCUGAGGAGCCCGUCCUCCUGGAGGGGGGGGCCUCACCGUGACCUGGUCCAGGUCGUGGCCCAUCUCCUGGGACGAGGCCGCCACGUCGCGCUCGGCGAUCCACUGCUCCAGCUCCUCCACCUCGCGGCUCAGCAGGUGGUGCUGGUAGGUGUGGUCCAGCUUCCUGCGCCGCUCCUCCGCCAGCUCCCGCAGCCCCGCGGCCCUCUGCUCCGCCUCCAGCUCGGGCUGGUCCUCGCGGGCCCCCCCGUGCUGCUGGACCGCCUCCUGCAGCUCCUCCAGCUCCCGCGCCCGCUCCCGCACCUGGUUCUCCGUCACCUGGCGGCCGGAGGGACGGAGAGGGCGUGGGUGGUGUGGUCUGGAAGAGGGGCCUGGGUGUGUCUCCCUGUCUCUACAGGGUGGCCCCCAGGUUCCCUGUCUCUACAGGGUGGCCCCCAGGUUCCCUGUCUCUACAGGGUGGCCCCCA
ensembl:lncRNA